CCCUGGCUCAAAAUACACAGUCCCGGAGCCAGAGCGUGACAAGCAGCCUGAAGGAGUGACCUUUACGAUCAAAUACCCGGAUGGGAGGUAGCGGAUUAGAAGAUUCCGGCUCUCUGAAUCCAUUCAGAUGAUGUUUGAUUUUGUGGGGGGGGAUGAUGCCUCGAAUGAGUUUUUACCCGUCAGGCAGCAGCGGGCAUCGCAACCCUGAAGAGCACGAUUUAACGGGUCAUUGGAGGAGCAUGACAGUCAGGAGUCCACAACACUGUCUGUGGAGGAUGUGCAGAUCAAAAAAGCAGUGGACCUAUCAGAGGUAAAGAACAAAUGGGAGGAAAUGGUAGACUGGCUGAGCCUACUGAGGCUGAAAAGGAACGUUGUCAAGACAAUGGAGGACAGGGAUGGUGUGGUUGAAUUGGUGGCUCAACAAUUUGCCGAAGGGAGCAUGCAGGUGGCCUUGGAGCAGUUCAAAUAAGGUCUCAACUCUCUUGGGCUGCUUGAGGCAUUGGGGAACCACCCGGACAGCUUCCGAGCACUUUUUGUGCACUCCAUAAAGCCUCCCACUGCCAGGGACCUGUUUAAAGUAACCUAUUCCAUACGGCAACCGGCGGUGGUUGGAGAACGACACCAUCUGCCACUGGUUCAACUGGCUGGCCGAGGUGCAAGAUGGAGAAUGCCCUCCUCUAACAGUGGCAAUGGUGUUGGAGUUUGCUACUGGGGCAACGGUGGUGCCACCCCUGGGGUUUAAGGACACCCUGACCAUCGAAUUCCUCCACACAGCGCGAGGGAGUCUCGCUGGGCAGCAGAAGAAAAAGUACCCAGAGGCAAACGCAUUUACUGUGACACUAAGGCUCCCUCUUCAUAGCACCUACAAUGCCUUUAGGGUAUUGUGAAUUCCCUGCAUUUCAGUGUUGCAGAAACACACCUUAGUGGAGAGUGACAGAUAAUAGGUAGAACAUUGGAGGGUGAAGUCUGUGGGACUUGUUCUGCCUUCCCUCUCCCACCGUUUCAUAUAUGUACCAGCUAUGUGCUGAAGACUUGUACAUUUCCGACCCUGUUCUUUUGAAUGUCUUAAUGUACCUCUUUUCUGCUCACUUGUCAGACUAAUGGAGACAAGUGAGCAGAUAUAUUUGACAGCUAAAUUCAAUGUUUUUCAAAAUAGUUAUUUUUAUGAUACAGAAUGUAUAGAAUUGUAUCUAGUAGCACUAAACUACAGUAGCAAUUGAGUGUUUGAAAAUGUAACUGCACAUCAACAUUUAAGCAUUUAUCUACUUACCGUCUGUGUUGUUAGUACAGUGCAUUCGGAAAGU